GAUAAGACCGGAUCGUGUCCAAAUAUACUCGGUUAAAUCAUCUUGGAGGCGGGUGGGCAUUUGGCGGUCGCAGAGGCAUGCGUCUCGAGCUAGAUAAAUGCAAAAUUUCGUUGGAGCUCCGGUAUUGGUCCGAGGUUGAGAACCGUUGCUUGAUCCCUUAACAUUACCCUCUAUCUCCCAAUCUGUCGCAUGCUCUUCUUCAUCCUCGAUUAUCAUGUUGUGCAAAAUAAUGCACGCAAAUAUGAGAAUGCCAGUUGCUCCUUCUUUAAUAAACGAGUCGGACCUCUGCUAACAGCCCAAUGAACUUGAAGAACACCAAAAGCUUAUUCUAUAUUCUUCCGUGCAGCACUUUGAACCCCCUCUUCUGGUCGUCAUUAGGAAAUAGAGGACUCUUGACAAAGAUUGGCCACUUUGGGUAGAUUCCAUCUGUAAAAUAGUGGCCCAUAAUAUAGUGGGCACUAUUGGCCUCGAAGUUACCGCCAGAGCAUUUCCCGAAAGAACGUCGUUGAACAACGUCGAUUAGUUGAGCACAUUG
rnacentral:lncRNA from 1 species